rnacentral:rRNA from 1 species
GAUGAACGCUGGCGGCGUGCCUAAUACAUGCAAGUCGGACGGAGCGCUUCGGCGCUCAGUGGCGAACGGGUGGGUAGCACAUGGGCAACCUGCCCUUCAGAGGGGGACAACAGCUGGAAAAGAACGCUAAUACCGCAUGACAUUCCUUUCUCGCAUGGGGAGGGAAUCAAAGGAGCAAUCCGCUGAGAGAUGGACUCGCGUCCGAUUAGCCAGUUGGCGGGGUAAUGGCCCACCAAAGCGACGAUCGGUAGCCGGACUGAGAGGUUGAACGGCCACAUUGGGACUGAGACACGGCCCAG